rnacentral:rRNA from 1 species
GACGAACGCUGGCGGCGUGCUUAACACAUGCAAGUCGAGCGGUAAGGCCCUUUCGGGGUACGACGAGCGGCGAACGGGUGAGUAACACGUGGGUGACCUGCCUUUAGCUCUGGGAUAAGCCUGGGAAACUGGGUCUAAUACCGGAUAUGACCCUAUGGCGCAUGUUGUGGGGUGGAAAGCCUUGUGCGGCUAGGGAUGGGCCCGCGGCCUAUCAGUUUGUUGGUGGGGUGAUGGCCUACCAAGGCGACGACGGGUAGCCGGCCUGAGAGGGCGACCGGCCACACUGGGACUGAGACACGGCCCAGACUCCUACGGGAGGCAGCAGUGGGGAAUCUUGCGCAAUGGGCGAAAGCCUGACGCAGCGACGCCGCGUGA